UCCACUUUUGGGCCUCUCUGUAAGAAAUGAAUGAUAAAACAGCCUUUUCUAUUGCUUUAUGCUUUAAAAUAAUGUGUAAAUUUCUGAGUGAAAGAAAAUCAGUCACUUUAGAAAUUUAAAAUGCUGUCUUUUUGACUCAAUAAUAAGUAGAAACAGUAUGUUUUCACAUUGUUGAGUACUUCAAAAUGCAUAAUUUCUAGUUCUAUUUUUUUCUUGAUGUUCUUUCAUUGCUUUUCAAAUAAAUGAAACUCAAGGACAUGUUUAGUCCAGCAACUCUAAGCUCCAUGUAGCAGAGGUGAGAUGUCUGACACAAACAAACCAUUCCAAAAGGGCAAGUUCACAUGUGGUUUUGCUCACCUUUGAGACCCCAGCUGGCGACAGAGUGCUUGGUAUUUAACGGCUCAGCUGUGAUGCCCCGACUCACUAUCUGGCUGACUUCAUGAGUCCAUUUCACCAACCCCAGCAGUCCUUGCCAUGUGAAGGAGCCACCCCUGGAUGCUUCUGUCACUAUGGAUCUAGCUACUCCACUUUCCCAAGCCUGCUGUGAUGGACAGCAAUCCUCUAAAACCAUGAGCUGAAAUAAACCUUUCACCCUUCAA